rfam:Gossypium raimondii Chr10_contig_22, whole genome shotgun sequence.
UAUUAAAAUUUUUAUCUAUAUUACCAUUAAAAAUUGAUGUAAUUGACAAAAUAAUCAAACAGUGACAUAUGUUGUGUCACGUAUACCUCUUGUUAACAUACAGAGGCCCGUUUUCAAUAGUAAAAUUGGAUGAAAUUUUUAAUA